UGUGGGAAACUGCCUGAUGGAGGGGGAUAACUACUGGAAACGGUGGCUAAUACCGCAUAACGUCGCAAGACCAAAGAGGGGGACCUUCGGGCCUCUUGCCAUCAGAUGUGCCCAGAUGGGAUUAGCUAGUUGGUGAGGUAACGGCUCACCAAGGCGACGAUCCCUAGCUGGUCUGAGAGGAUGACCAGCCACACUGGAACUGAGACACGGUCCAGACUCCUACGGGAGGCAGCAGUGGGGAAUAUUGCACAAUGG
rnacentral:rRNA from 1 species